rnacentral:pre_miRNA from 1 species
UUCACCUGGGGAUCUUGUUAAAAUGCAGAUUGUAAUUCAGGAGGGCUGGCCUGUCCUGGGAUUCUGCAUUUCUAACAAGUUCCCAGGCAAUGCAGA